AUGUAUGUGAGGGGAAGAAGAGCUGUGUAAAGCUGAUUGGCCUCCUCAUGGACUGAAGGUUCUGUGCUGGCUGUAUGUCCUGUCCUGUGCAUUUAGGUCCACCCGCAUUUGUGACCUUCCCCCAAAGAAGAAUAAGAAGAAUGAGGAGGGGGAGGAGGAGGAGAAGGAGAACAAGUCCAAUUUGUGUUGGCCACAUACUCACUGGAGCAUGGUCAAACUUACCAUGGCCUUAAAGAAAACUGAGUCCCCAUUGUACCCCAACAGAAGCCAUCAACUGUGGAGAGCUAUACUUCAACAUCCUUAUCACAUUUUAAAGAGUUCCCUAUGAUG